GUGAAGAUGGACAGUGUGUGAAUUAUAAGAGCUCCAUUUCUAAAGUCAUUCAACUAUACUUGCACAGAAUUCCAAAAGCUCUGCUGUUUAUUACUCUUCAUUACUAAUAUAGCCUCUGAUUGUAAGCAGGCUGUCCUUUGUGAAUAACAAUCACAGAUACAGACAUCUUCAGACGGUUCAAGUCAUGUGCUUCAAUCAAACUCUAGUCGGAAAAGAACUUUCAGAGCAAGGCUGCUUCCACAGUACUGACAAAAUCUGCUAUAUAUCACAUAACAUUGCAUGGUGCACUCACUCAAACUUUAUGUUUCCCUGUUUUAUAAAUUCUUAAGGGCACUGCAUGGCUCACAAAAAUCUAAUACUGGCACUCUCUAUGUUGGCGAUUACUGAAUGGAAAUAUGCAUAUUUAGCUUGAAAGAAAGAAGGGUAAUAUUUUCCUUGCAAUUUAUUCUCCAUUUCCUUUAUAUAACCUGAAAUCAUGAGCUUUGUGACAUAUUGGAAAAGAAAUACUUUAUUAUAGAAAAUAUAACUAGAUAGUAAUGAGUUUCAAAGCAUAUUAUUGACCAUGUAUAAUGGUUCUCACAGAUAUGAAAUUUAAAAAUCCGAAAAAUAAGAGUAAAUCUCUUAAAAAUACUAAA
rnacentral:antisense_RNA from 1 species